AUUGAACGCUGGCGGCAGGCCUAACACAUGCAAGUCGAACGAGUGGCGGACGGGUGAGUAAUGUCUGGGAAACUGCCUGAUGGAGGGGGAUAACUACUGGAAACGGUAGCUAAUACCGCAUACCAUCGGAUGUGCCCAGAUGGGAUUAGCUAGUAGGGGGGGUAACGGCUCACCUAGGCGACGAUCCCUAGCUGGUCUGGUAGGAUGACCUGCCACACUGGAACUGUGACACGGUCCAGUAGCUUACGGGAGUCAGCAGUGGGGAAUAUUGCACAAUGGGGGCAAGCCUGAUGCAGCCAUGCGGCGUGUAUGAAGAAGGCCUUCGGGUUGUAAAGUACUUUCAGCGGGGAGGCGUUACCCGCAGAAGAAGCACCGGCUAACUCCGUGCCAGCAGCCGCGGUAAUUC
rnacentral:rRNA from 1 species